rnacentral:lncRNA from 1 species
ACCUUUUUCAACUAGAGCCUAGAAUUACAACUCUUUAAUUAAAACCGACCGAAUCUAAAAACAAAAAUAUCUAUUGUACCCUUUGUUGAAAUGACAACACUUUUCUUUUCUAUUCCAGAAAUCCUCUCUCUGCCGCUAGUCCCUACCUCAGUCGCCCAACUUCACAAACGGCCGCCCAAAUCCACGUCUGUGUGUGCGCUUCGUUGCGAGUCAAGAGAAGAGGGUGCGCGGGCGAGCUGGUGAAUGUUAACAACGUUGAAAUAGCCCGAGACUGGGGUAGAGAAGAAGCUUGAAAUAGUAGAAGGGACAGAAAAUGUCUAUUUUCUGUCCCUUCUACGAUUUGAUGCUUCUACCCCAGUCUCGGGUGAUUUCAAAACGGCCGUGCCCCGUCUCAACGUGGACGCUUCCGUGAACGUGUGUGUGUGUGUGCACUUUCCUGGUGAACUUUGGAUUACUCUGGACUUUGGAUAACAUCUGGACCGCUAGACACCAUGCAAGGAAAGAAAUCCUCUCUCUGCCGCUAGUCCCUACCUCAGUCGCCCAACUUCACAAACGGCCGCCCAAAUCCACGUCUGUGUGUGCGCUUCGUUGCGAGUCAAGAGAAGAGGGUGCGCGGGCGAGCUGGUGAAUGUUAACAACGUUGAAAUAGCCCGAGACUGGGGUAGAGAAGAAGCUUGAAAUAGUAGAAGGGACAGAAAAUGUCUAUUUUCUGUCCCUUCUACGAUUUGAUGCUUCUACCCCAGUCUCGGGUGAUUUCAAAACGGCCGUGCCCCGUCUCAACGUGGACGCUUCCGUGAACGUGUGUGUGUGUGUGCACUUUCCUGGUGAACUUUGGAUUACUCUGGACUUUGGAUAACAUCUGGACCGCUAGACACCAUGCAAGGAAAGAAAUCCUCUCUCUGCCGCUAGUCCCUACCUCAGUCGCCCAACUUCACAAACGGCCGCCCAAAUCCACGUCUGUGUGUGCGCUUCGUUGCGAGUCAAGAGAAGAGGGUGCGCGGGCGAGCUGGUGAAUGUUAACAACGUUGAAAUAGCCCGAGACUGGGGUAGAGAAGAAGCUUGAAAUAGUAGAAGGGACAGAAAAUGUCUAUUUUCUGUCCCUUCUACGAUUUGAUGCUUCUACCCCAGUCUCGGGUGAUUUCAAAACGGCCGUGCCCCGUCUCAACGUGGACGCUUCCGUGAACGUGUGUGUGUGUGUGCACUUUCCUGGUGAACUUUGGAUUACUCUGGACUUUGGAUAACAUCUGGACCGCUAGACACCAUGCAAGGAAAGAAAUCCUCUCUCUGCCGCUAGUCCCUACCUCAGUCGCCCAACUUCACAAACGGCCGCCCAAAUCCACGUCUGUGUGUGCGCUUCGUUGCGAGUCAAGAGAAGAGGGUGCGCGGGCGAGCUGGUGAAUGUUAACAACGUUGAAAUAGCCCGAGACUGGGGUAGAGAAGAAGCUUGAAAUAGUAGAAGGGACAGAAAAUGUCUAUUUUCUGUCCCUUCUACGAUUUGAUGCUUCUACCCCAGUCUCGGGUGAUUUCAAAACGGCCGUGCCCCGUCUCAACGUGGACGCUUCCGUGAACGUGUGUGUGUGUGUGCACUUUCCUGGUGAACUUUGGAUUACUCUGGACUUUGGAUAACAUCUGGACCGCUAGACACCAUGCAAGGAAAGAAAUCCUCUCUCUGCCGCUAGUCCCUACCUCAGUCGCCCAACUUCACAAACGGCCGCCCAAAUCCACGUCUGUGUGUGCGCUUCGUUGCGAGUCAAGAGAAGAGGGUGCGCGGGCGAGCUGGUGAAUGUUAACAACGUUGAAAUAGCCCGAGACUGGGGUAGAGAAGAAGCUUGAAAUAGUAGAAGGGACAGAAAAUGUCUAUUUUCUGUCCCUUCUACGAUUUGAUGCUUCUACCCCAGUCUCGGGUGAUUUCAAAACGGCCGUGCCCCGUCUCAACGUGGACGCUUCCGUGAACGUGUGUGUGUGUGUGCACUUUCCUGGUGAACUUUGGAUUACUCUGGACUUUGGAUAACAUCUGGACCGCUAGACACCAUGCAAGGAAAGAAAUCCUCUCUCUGCCGCUAGUCCCUACCUCAGUCGCCCAACUUCACAAACGGCCGCCCAAAUCCACGUCUGUGUGUGCGCUUCGUUGCGAGUCAAGAGAAGAGGGUGCGCGGGCGAGCUGGUGAAUGUUAACAACGUUGAAAUAGCCCGAGACUGGGGUAGAGAAGAAGCUUGAAAUAGUAGAAGGGACAGAAAAUGUCUAUUUUCUGUCCCUUCUACGAUUUGAUGCUUCUACCCCAGUCUCGGGUGAUUUCAAAACGGCCGUGCCCCGUCUCAACGUGGACGCUUCCGUGAACGUGUGUGUGUGUGUGCACUUUCCUGGUGAACUUUGGAUUACUCUGGACUUUGGAUAACAUCUGGACCGCUAGACACCAUGCAAGGAAAGAAAUCCUCUCUCUGCCGCUAGUCCCUACCUCAGUCGCCCAACUUCACAAACGGCCGCCCAAAUCCACGUCUGUGUGUGCGCUUCGUUGCGAGUCAAGAGAAGAGGGUGCGCGGGCGAGCUGGUGAAUGUUAACAACGUUGAAAUAGCCCGAGACUGGGGUAGAGAAGAAGCUUGAAAUAGUAGAAGGGACAGAAAAUGUCUAUUUUCUGUCCCUUCUACGAUUUGAUGCUUCUACCCCAGUCUCGGGUGAUUUCAAAACGGCCGUGCCCCGUCUCAACGUGGACGCUUCCGUGAACGUGUGUGUGUGUGUGCACUUUCCUGGUGAACUUUGGAUUACUCUGGACUUUGGAUAACAUCUGGACCGCUAGACACCAUGCAAGGAAAGGUAUUUGAGAAUGCUUCUAUCUCUCUCUCUCGUGGUUUGAAUAGGAGUCCGGACUAUAAAGCGCUCGGCCGCGCUUCGAAAUCUCUUCUUCGCGUAACAAAUAUUGAUUAAAAAAAAAAGUAUUCGCUUCUAAAAUUUCUCUUAUUCCCAGCGUCAUGUACACGCAUUUCUUGCGUGGAACAACGAAUGAAUAACUGCUAUGUGCGUUUAAUUCGAUC